UAGUAGUUAGUUUAAUUAAAACAAAUGAUUUCGACUCAUUAAAUUAUGCUUAAGUACAUAACUACUAA
rnacentral:tRNA from 1 species